rnacentral:rRNA from 1 species
UACGGGGGGGGCAAGCGUUGUUCGGAAUUACUGGGCGUAAAGGGCUCGUAGGUGGCCAACUAAGUCAGACGUGAAAUCCCUCGGCUUAACCGGGGAACUGCGUCUGAUACUGGAUGGCUUGAGCUCGGGAGAGGGAUGCGGAAUUCCAGGUGUAGCGGUGAAAUGCGUAGAUAUCUGGAGGAACACCGGUGGCGAAGGCGGCAUCCUGGACCGACACUGACACUGAGGAGCGAAAGCCAGGGGAGCAAACGGG